rnacentral:misc_RNA from 1 species
GAUGAAGGAACGCAGCGAAAUGCGAUAAGUAAUGUGAAUUGCAGAAUUCAGUGAAUCAUCGAAUCUUUGAACGCACCUUGCGCUCUUUGGUAUUCCGAAGAGCAUGCCUGUUUGAGUGUCAUGAAAAUAUCAACCUUGACUUGGGUUUUGUGCUCUAGUCUCGGCUUGGAAUUGGGUGCUUGCCGCUUUUACGAGCGGCUCACCUUAAAUGUAUUAGCUGGAUCUGUCUUUGAGACUUGGUUUGACUUGGCGUAAUAAGUAUUUCGCUAAGGACAUUCUUCGGAGUGGCCUCGUUUCUAGGACGCUUGUCCGCUUUCCAAUACAAGUUCCACCUCGUGGACAUGACUUUUUAUUAUCUGGCCUCAAAUCAGGUAGGACUACCCGCUGAACUUAAGCAUAUCAAUAAGCGGAGGA